UGGGGAUAUGAAACAAGAGCAGGACAGCACUUCUCUUGAUAAGGAUGGAAGAAAUCUUAAUGGAUUUAAUCACAUUAAAUGGGGGAAGAAGAAAAAAGCAGCAGGGAUCAUCAAUAUCAUGU